CCGUACAUACGAUCUGACCUCGGCAUCGAGGAUAGAUGAAAAGGUGGGCCUCUAUUUAUAAGCUAUCACUGAAGAGGGGAUUGCGUCUGAUUAGCUAGUUGGAGGGGUAACGGGCCCACCAAGGCGGUGAUCAGUAGCCGGUCUGAGAGGAUGAACGGCCACAUUGGGACUGAGACACGGCCCAGACUCCUACGGGAGGCAGCAGUGGGGAAUCUUCCGCAAUGGACGAAAGUCUGACGGAGCAACGCCGCGUGAGUGAUGACGGCCUUCGGGUUGUAAAGCUCUGUUAAUCGGGACGAAAGGCCUUCUUGCGAAUAGUUAGGAGGAUUGACGGUACCGGAAUAGAAAGCCACGGCUAACUACGUGCCAGCAGCCGCGGUAAUACGUAGGUGGCAAGCGUUGUCCGGAAUUAUUGGGCGUAAAGCGCGCGCAGGCGAAUCAGUCAGUCUGUCUUAAAAGUUCGGGGCUUAACCCCGUGAGGGGAUGGAAACUGCUGAUCUAGAGUAUCGGAGAGGAAAGUGGAAUUCCUAGUGUAGCGGUGAAAU
rnacentral:rRNA from 1 species